UGCCAGCAGCCGCGGUAAUACGGGGGGGGUUAGCGUUGUUCGGAAUUACUGGGCGUAAAGCGCACGUAGGCGGAUUAGAAAGUUAGAGGUGAAAUCCCGGGGCUCAACCCCGGAACUGCCUUUAAAACUACUAGUCUAGAGUAUGGUAGAGGGAAGUGGAAUUCCACAUGUAGCGGUGAAAUGCGUAGAGAUGUGGAGGAACACCAGUGGCGAAGGCGACUUCCUGGACCAAUACUGACACUGAGGUGCGAAAGCGUGGGGAGCAAACAGGAUUAGAUA
rnacentral:rRNA from 1 species